rnacentral:rRNA from 1 species
AACGCACAGCGAAAGGUGCUUGCACCUUUCAGUGAGUGGCGAACGGGUGAGUAACACGUGGACAACCUGCCUCAAGGCUGGGGAUACAUUUGGAAACAGAUGCUAAUACCGAAUGAAACUUAGUGUCGCAUGACACAAAGUUAAAAGGCGCUUUGGCGUCACCUAGAGAUGGAUCCGCGGUGCAUUAGUUAGUUGGUGGGGUAAAGGCCUACCAAGACAAUGAUGCAUAGCCGAGUUGAGAGACUGAUCGGCCACAUUGGGACUGAGACACGGCCCAAACUCCUACGGGAGGCUGCAGUAGGGAAUCUUCCACAAUGGGCGAAAGCCUGAUGGAGCAACGCCGCGUGUGUGAUGAAGGCUUUCGGGUCGUAAAGCACUGUUGUAUGGGAAGAACAGCUAGAAUAGGGAAUGAUUUUAGUUUGACGGUACCAUACCAGAAAGGGACGGCUAAAUACGUGCCAGCAGCCGCGGUAAUACGUAUGUCCCGAGCGUUAUCCGGAUUUAUUGGGCGUAAAGCGAGCGCAGACGGUUGAUUAAGUCUGAUGUGAAAGCCCGGAGCUCAACUCCGGAAUGGCAUUGGAAACUGGUUAACUUGAGUGCAGUAGAGGUAAGUGGAACUCCAUGUGUAGCGGUGGAAUGCGUAGAUAUAUGGAAGAACACCAGUGGCGAAGGCGGCUUACUGGACUGUAACUGACGUUGAGGCUCGAAAGUGUGGGUAGCAAACAGGAUUAGAUACCCUGGUAGUCCACACCGUAAACGAUGAACACUAGGUGUUAGGAGGUUUCCGCCUCUUAGUGCCGAAGCUAACGCAUUAAGUGUUCCGCCUGGGGAGUACGACCGCAAGGUUGAAACUCAAGG